rnacentral:rRNA from 1 species
AUGCCUCUUUUAUUUGCCAAGCUCCAAUGGCUUACCAAGAUGUGGCUUUUUUCAUGGAGAGUAGUGUUUGCCAAAAAAACUACCGUGGAACCAAUUGUGCCUCAGCCACCAAACUUUCCCAAGUAUGGAUAUACCACCUACAAUGUACACAGUAUCAAAGCCGCAUUAAACAAAUUGUUUUGUUGUCAGUUACCAGCAUCACAAGAAUAUUUGCGCCGAGCGGCGGAUCGAUUGACCAGAUAUGAGAAAAUCACAUCACAAACGUGCGCCAACUUUUAUCAUUUUUCAUUCUGUGUUCUUAUCUCUCCACUGAAACAAUGA